UGCUUACAGAAAGAAGGUAUGGGAGUCUCAUUCUUACCUCUUUCCCUUUCACGAAAAGCUUUAUGCUGACUCUAGGUUCAAGUUGGUAAGCAUUGGUGCUCCUUUCAACACUUCUGAGGGUUUCUUGUUUUCCUUGCAACUUCACUUUUGAUCAAUUUAUUGUUACUUUUGGAUGCUAUAUCACACAAUGGGUUGAGAAAAUGCACCCGUGUCAUAUAAUCACCAGUUUCUGUCUCAGCUUACUUUUCAAUCGCACUCUUUGUUUGCAUCUCCUAUUGAUCUCGUGUAAUUAAUUAUCGGCUGAUUAUGCCAGGUUCAGGUGUCUAGCUUACUGCAUCAUAUAUGCUUGAAUUGAAUAUGAUAUCCAAUCGUGCAUCUACCAUCAGUUGUUAACACAAUAUAAUGUAUUUUUUAUUCUGCAUAUUUGCCCUUUUUUGGCACUGGUUUCAAAAAUAACGAACCUAAGGACUUCGCCACAUGAAGAAUCUCUAGGUUUGGUACAGUUGCUUUGAAUUGUAACUACGGUGGAACUGAUUAUAUUUUCUCCUUUCUAGCAGGAAAAUGUUUAAUUAAAUGUUUCAACUAUUCAAAUUAGGGAUUUUCUUCCACAGGAUAUUUUUGUAUCUUUUCCUGCCAUUCAAUGUGUCUAACCUCACUAUGUGCAUUUACUGCACAUUUCAGAAGCUUCUACUUUACCUGCUGCUGGUAAUUUUCUCCUCACGUAUGUUAUGAGAUAGACCAAAGAGUAUCUCCAAGCGAUCAUGUUUUGCAAAAUCCCAAAUGUACUGCAAAAAAGUUAUUGGAUGGGCUGGUAACUCUGAAUUUGAUGCUUAAGAUAUUUGAUUUAUUUAUAUUAUAAGCUAUUAGAAAUAGAUUUUAAACCAGCUAUCAGGUUCUUUUUCCUGUCCAACUGUUGAUAUCUAUCUUGGCUUUGUUGAAUAUGUCAUUUCCCUUAUUUUUGCAUCUUUUUGUUUUUUUAAUCAUUAUUUAUUUUUUUACCAAAAUACCUGUUUCUUUAGUUUUGGUAAUUUGGUCAGGUUUACUUAAGAGUGGCCUCCAAUGGUUUUGAGGAAGAAGCAUAAAUCAACCAAGUCUUGGGGAGUCAUGCAACAGGAAAGUUGCUCUUGGGGAAGGACUUCCAGUGUGUCAAAUUGCCAAAGGCUAUAAAGUUAUUGCUGCUAAUUGCCAAAUGAUUCAAGGGAUGGCCUCACUUCGGUCCACUGGAUAUGUCGAUCCUGGGUGGGAGCAUGGCACUGCUCAAGAUGAAAGAAAAAAGAAGGUCAAAUGCAACUAUUGUGGGAAAGUAGUUAGCGGUGGAAUAUUCAGGUUGAAGCAACAUUUAGCUAGAAUAUCUGGUGAAGUUACUCACUGUGAUAAGGUUCCUGAGGAAGCAUGCUUGAAUAUGAGAAAAAACCUAGAAGGAUGCCGUUCUGGUCAAAAAAGAAGGCGAUCUGAAUAUAAACAAAAAUCUCUGACUUUCCAUCCUGAUGAAUGUGAUGAUAUGGAGGAAGCUCCUAGUAACUACAAAGAGAAAGGCAAGAAAGUGAUGGUUGAUCAGAACUUAGUUGUAAAGUCUGCUCCUCUUCGAUCAUUAGGAUAUGUGGACCCAGGCUGGGAACAUUGUGUUGCACAAGAUGAAAAGAAGAAAAGGGUAAAAUGCAAUUUCUGUGAAAAAAUAAUUAGUGGGGGCAUAAACCGAUUCAAACAGCAUCUAGCCAGGAUCCCUGGAGAAGUUGCCUACUGUGAAAAGGCUCCUGAGGAAGUGUAUCUUAAAAUCAAGGAAAACAUGAAAUGGCACCGUAGUGGCAGAAGGAAUUGGAAACCCAAUACAAAGGAGAUUUCCACUAUCUACAUGCACCAAAAUAAUGAGGAAGAAGAGGAAGAACGGGACGUUGGACUGGUGCAGUGUAUAAGUAAGGAUGUACUGGCCGUUGAUGAUAAAGUUUCAGAUAAUGAUGUCAGAAAUAAUAAGAAGGGAAGAUUCCCUGCUUGUAGUGGCAACAGCAAUGAACCUCUAUUGAAGAAAUCUAGAUUGGAUUCAGUGUUUUUGAAGUCUCUUAAAAGCCAGGCAUCAUCACACCACAAGCAAGUAAAAGCAAAGAUAGGAUUUGAGAAAAAAGCUCGGAAGGAAGUGAUAUCUGCUAUCUGCAAAUUCUUUUAUCAUGCAGGAAUCCCUUCUAAUGCAGCAAAUUCCUCAUAUUUUCACAAAAUGCUGGAGUUAGUUGGCCAAUAUGGGAAAGGUCUGCAAGGUCCUUCAGGCCGACUGAUAUCUGGCCGGUUUCUUCAGGAAGAGAUUGCUACCAUCCAAGAAUACUUAGUGGAACUUAAAGCUUCUUGGCCAAUUACGGGUUGUUCUAUUAUGGCUGAUAGUUGGAAUGAUCUCCAGGGUAGGGCAUUAAUAAACUUUUUGGUCUCUUGUCCUCGAGGUAUAUAUUUUGUUUCUUCCUUUGAUGUCACUGGUAUCAUAGAUGAUGCUGCUAGCCUUUUCAAAUUGUUGGACGAGGUGGUAGAAGAAAUUGGUGAAGAAAAUGUUGUUCAGGUAAUAACUAAAAACACAGACAGUUUUAGGACUGCUGGGAAGAUUCUUGAAGAGAAAAGGAGACAUUUAUUUUGGACACCAUGUGCUGUGCAUUGCAUUGAUGGAAUGCUUGAGGACUUUCUGAAUAUAAAAUGGGUAGGAGAAUGCAUAAAUAAGGGUAAAAAAGUGACAAGGUUUAUUUAUAAUAAUACAUGGCUUUUGACUUUUAUGAAGAAAGAAUACCUAAAGGGACAAGAACUUCUUAGGCCAGCUGUUACAAAGUUUUGCACAAACUUUUUCACUUUAAAAAGUUUGUUGGAUCAAAGAAUUACCCUUAAGAGAAUGUUCCAGUCAAACAAAUGGGUUUCAUCCCAAUUGGCUAAAACAGAUGAGGGUAAAGAAGUAGAGAAAAUAGUCUUAAGUGCCACAUUCUGGAAGAAGAUGCAAUAUGUGAAAAAAUCUUUAGAGCCAAUUGCACAGGUUCUUCAAAAGGUAGAUAGUGAUGAAAGCCAAUCAAUGCCAUUUAUAUAUCAUGACAUGUAUAGAGCUAAGCUUGCAAUUAAAGCAAUCCAUGGGGAUGAUGCACGAAAAUAUGGGCCUUUCUGGAGUGUAUUAGACAUCCACUGGAACUUAUUGUUUCACCAUCCUCUCUAUGUGGCUGCGUACUUUCUCAAUCCAUCAUACCGUUAUCGUCCAGAUUUCAUAAUGAAUCCUGAGGUUAU
rnacentral:misc_RNA from 1 species